AGUAGAGAAUGUCUUUAUAUCUUUAAAUAACUCACUUAAAAAUGAUGCUAACUUUGAACAACAAGAUUUGUUGUUUCUUUAUAUUAAUUAAAAACCAGGCUCUAAUGAGAUUGUGAUUUCCCUUUCUUUCCCAACAAACAAUCUACUGAACAUUUUCUUACACAAGCUAAUGUACAGUUUCCUUCACUUCUUUUUUUUCCCCUUCUCCCAGCUAUGGCUUUUAAAAAUGAGUGUUAUGAUUAUAAUUUUCUGGCGUUUGGUUGAUUAAAGCCACCAGUAAGACUAAAAAAAACAAAA